UGCUGCUUUUUGUUGACACUGCACUUUAUGAGCAGAUUGUUUGUGCUGAAGUGAUGCAAAGGAGCCUGGCAAACAGAACUGAGGACAGAAAGGAGGAGCUGUGCUUUUGGAUGUCAGUAAUGUUUCUUUUAUCUAGCAACAACCCACAACACUGGUGAAAAUCAAGUCAGUCGACCUUUGUGAAUAUUUCAUCAUCUGUCAUGUGGGGUUUCAACCUGUGCCCCAGAACAUUAUCUGGAUCUCUGGAUGACUAGUCCCUUGAUAGUAUCACUACACCAUCACUUCUCCUGAAUCUUCUACCAUCAACAUCCUUGAAAUUAUUAUUAUUCAGAAACUUAAUA